rnacentral:rRNA from 1 species
UACGUAGGGUGCAAGCGUUAAUCGGAAUUACUGGGCGUAAAGCGUGCGCAGGCGGUUAUGCAAGACAGAUGUGAAAUCCCCGGGCUCAACCUGGGAACUGCAUUUGUGACUGUAUAGCUGGAGUACGGUAGAGGGGGAUGGAAUUCCGCGUGUAGCAGUGAAAUGCGUAGAUAUGCGGAGGAACACCGAUGGCGAAGGCAAUCCCCUGGACCUGUACUGACGCUCAUGCACGAAAGCGUGGGGAGCAAACAGG